rnacentral:rRNA from 1 species
UGGGUGGAUGAGUGGCGAACGGGUGAGUAACACGUGAGUAACCUGCCCCUUCUUUGGGAUAACGCCCGGAAACGGGUGCUAAUACUGGAUAUUCACUUGCCUUCGCAUGGGGGUUGGUGGAAAGGGUUUUUUCUGGUGGGGGAUGGGCUCGCGGCCUAUCAGCUUGUUGGUGGGGUGAUGGCCUACCAAGGCUUUGACGGGUAGCCGGCCUGAGAGGGUGACCGGUCACAUUGGGACUGAGAUACGGCCCAG